GAAAUAUUUGUCAAAAUAUAGGUUGUUGAAGAAAAACAAACCUGUGGCUAUGGCGACGAUGGGUCGAUUGAGCAGACAGAAUGGCGAAGGAAAACGAGGA